rnacentral:lncRNA from 1 species
AAUGCUUAUGACGAUAACCGCUUAUUUAUACUUCGUGGGUUCUGAAAGGGAUCCCCCGGUGUGGUUCCCCAGUGCCAGUGUUGUCUGAUUCCAGUCUGGUGCUCCUUGGUUCCUGAGCCAGCCUGAGGAGUCUGAGCAUUCUGUCACUUGCGACCAAGCAGUGUUAAUACAGAGAAGUCACCACUGUGGGAAUGGAGAGGAGCUGGAUCCUGAAGUGGACGUGUCUGGACUUGGUGAGUAGUGCUUCUGUGGGGUGGGCAGCUGCGAAGGAAUCUAGUUUCCUUAUCUGGAAUCUGGAUGGGAUAUCCUGCCUAGGUGCUAGGCGGUGUAUCCCAGACAGGAAGUGAGGAGUAGGAGGGAUGUGAGAGAAGAGAUCCUGGAGCUUGAGGAUGAGGCGGGAAGGAGGGAGAUGAACUCAAGGCAGCUGGGGGCUGGGGGGAGAAAGAGCGCUUUGUAACAGGAACCAAUCUGGGUGAUGUGGUUCCAUCUGCCUCAAAUAUUGCUUGACGCUUUGUUAUACACCAGGCAGUGUACUGGUUAAUAAAACAGUUUGGGGAUGGGUAUUGUUAUCCUCAUCUUACAUGUAAAGAAAGGGUGAUACAGAGAAGUGAAACAGCUUGUACAAAAUCAGAAAAUCAGAGACCAAAAUUCAAACCUGGGUCUAACUGCUAUGCUGAUGCUCUUAAGAACCUAAACAGAUGCUCAGAUGAGGGAACAAAGUCUCUGCCUCAGUCCCUGAGUUUUUACAUAUUUCCAAUGAGUCCUUUAAGUAAAAUAUUCUCCCUGCAAGUACUUUGUGAGGCAAUGCAGUUGAGUAAUAGAAUCUGGGGGCCUGGUUCACUUUGUAAAUACCAAUUCUUUCAUCCUCUUCCCCUACCGGGGUCCAGUCAAAUGAGCACUAAUACAGACAGUUGGUUACCCACCCCGUGGCCCUUCCACUCCCCUUCUCUCAGCACCCACCUAGGUUGCUUUUAAGUGUUCAUGCUUAUCCUUCUGGGACCAGGGUUAUACUGUGGCAUUAAUAGUGACAUUACCCCCCUUGCUUGGGAUAGAUUCAAGCAUGUGAUGCGACUCAAUUCUGGCCAAUGAGCAGUGAAGAAUAGAUUCCUAUUCGUUUAUAGGGGGCUUCUGAGAAAAACUUCCCUUGAUCUUAAAAUGGGACACAAUGAUGAGAUGUUUUCUGGGGUUUUAUUUAUUUAUUUAUUUAUUUAUUUAUUUGCUGCUGUGCGCAUUGUGUGGUGAUGUGAUGUCUGGGGUGGGCGCAACCAUCUUGCAACUGUGAGGCAAGCUAGCCAAGGACGAGGCGACGUGCUGAGAAUGGCAGAAGGGAAGGAAAAGAGGAAGUCUGGGUCACUCAUGAUGAUGCUGAGCUGCAGGAUUAACCUCUUCUGAAGCUAUUGUUCCUCUGGACUUCUUGUUCUCUGAGA